UGGGUUGUGGCAUGGUUAGGCCCUGGGUGA
rnacentral:piRNA from 2 species